rnacentral:rRNA from 1 species
UCGGCAGAGAUGCCUUAGUGCCUUCGGGAACCGUGAGACAGGUGCUGCAUGGCUGUCGUCAGCUCGUGAUGUGAAAUGUUGGGUUAAGUCCCGCAACGAGCGCAACCCCCUAUCCUUUGUUGCCAGCGGUUCGGCCGGGAACUCAAAGGAGACUGCCAGUGAUAAACUGGAGGAAGGUGGGGAUGACGUCAAGUCAUCAUGGCCCUUACGACCAGGGCUACACACGUGCUACAAUGGCGCAUACAAAGAGAAGCGACCUCGCGAGAGCAAACGGACCUCAUAAAAUGCGUCUUAGUCCGGAUUGGAGUCUGCAACUCGACUCCAUGAAGUC